rnacentral:rRNA from 1 species
CUCAGAUUGAACGCUGGCGGAAUGCUUUACACAUGCAAGUCGAACGGUAGAGGGGGCAACCCCUCGAGAGUGGCGAACGGGUGAGUAAUAUAUCGGAACGUGCCCAGUCGUGGGGGAUAACGUAGCGAAAGUUACGCUAAUACCGCAUACGAUCUACGGAUGAAAGCGGGGGAUCGCAAGACCUCGCGCGAUUGGAGCGGCCGAUAUCAGAUUAGGUAGUUGGUGGGGUAAAGGCUCACCAAGCCAACGAUCUGUAGCUGGUCUGAGAGGACGACCAGCCACACUGGAACUGAGACACGGUCCAGACUCCUACGGGAGGCAGCAGUGGGGAAUUUUGGACAAUGGACGCAAGUCUGAUCCAGCCAUUCCGCGUGCAGGAUGAAGGCCCUCGGGUUGUAAACUGCUUUUGUACGGAACGAAAAGGUUUCUAUUAAUACUAGGAGCUCAUGACGGUACCGUAAGAAUAAGCACCGGCUAACUACGUG